ACUCAAAUGAAUUGACGGGGACCUGCACAAGUGGUGGAGCGUGUGAUUUAAUUCGAUACUAAGCGAAGAACCUUACCGAGGCUUGACAUCUCUGGAACCCCUAAGAAACUAGGGGGUGCCGCAAGGAGCCAGAUGACAGGUGCUGCACGGUUGUCGUCAGCUCGUGCUGUGAAGUGUCCCGUUCAGUCGGUUAACGAGCGCAACCCCUAUUCUGUGUUAGAAAUGUCACAGAAGACUGCCCCAGUUAAUGGGGAGGAAGGUGGGGAUUACGUCAAAUCAGCGUGGCCCUUACGCCUCGGGCCAUACACGCGCUACAAUGGGAAGUACAAUGGGUUGCCAAACCGAGAGGUGGAGCUAAUCCCAUCAAAACUUCCCCCAGUUCGGAUUGGAGGCUGCAACUCGCCUCCAUGAAGCCGGAAUCACUAGUAAUGGCCGGUCAGCCAUACGGCCGUGAAUACGUUCUCAGGUCUUGUACACACCGCCCGU
rnacentral:rRNA from 1 species